CUUUCCAGUUUUCUUACGUCUAACACUCCACCACAUUCUCUGUGACCCAGUGACACCAAUCACCUUACUGUUUCUCAAACAAAACACCCCAUUUCCUGACUCCAUGUAUAUUCACUAGCUGUCACGCACACAUGUAAUGUUCUCAUUCUCCAUCUCCACUCCUGGCUUCCUUCAAGUCUCAGUUAAAAUCCCAGCUUCUAUGAAAUGGAGUGCAAAAGAACAUUGUAUAUUCUGUAAGAAUCUCUCUCUUCCUUGAAGUUGCAGUUCAAGCACCACCAUCUACAUUAAUGCUUUCCUGAUCUCCCUAAAUUGGAAUCUACCCGUUCCAAGCCCUUCACUGAUUCUGACUCUGGAAUCCAGCCACAAUCAAAAUAAAGAUUUCAAAAACAAAACUGAAAUCGGGAUCACUUCAAAUCACCAAGCUGAACCUGGUGUAGUUAAGAAGCCUAUACAAGUAAAUAUUAGUUUUCCCUAUCCUGGGGCCAACUCAGUAGACCACUGAUUUCAUUUAUGCUUUUUUUUCCUCCAGUCCUGCUUUCACUUUCCUUACCUUUUAUACAAUUUUACAAUGAUAACUCAGGUUUCUAUAUAUCUGUGAUGUUUGCCAAGUAUCUUCCUCAUAAGAAUCCUGUGAGAUCAGGAGCAUGAAUAUUAUGGUGUCCACAUUACAGAUGAGGAAACUGAGGCUAUACUAAAAUUCCUUGCUCAUGCCCAAACUCUUGGUAAAUAUCUGAGACAGGAUUCAGAUUCACCUCUCCUGUCUCCAGGUCUUUCCAAUUAUGUCAUGUUCUUUUCUUGUUGGCUUCAAGGAAGUGUAGAGAAAAACAAGGUCAGGGCUCAAGGACUUGAUUUAGUGACUCAUUGGCACCUCUAGUAAAAGUUUUGUGGAGCAAGAUGGAAAGUGAAAGGAAAUGAUUCAAAAGAAGUUUGGUAUUAAUUCAGGAAUUUUAUUUACCUAUGCUAUCCCAGCAUUCGAGUAGCAGAGGUAGUCAAAUAUGUAUUCAUUCAUUCAA